rnacentral:rRNA from 1 species
UACGUAGGGGGCAAGCGUUGUCCGGAUUUAUUGGGCGUAAAGAGCGUGUAGGCGGCCAGACAGGUCCGUUGUGAAAACUCGAGGCUCAACCUCGAGAUGUCGAUGGAAACCGUCUGGCUAGAGUCCGGAAGAGGAGUGUGGAAUUCCUGGUGUAGCGGUGAAAUGCGUAGAUAUCAGGAGGAAUACCGGUGGCGAAAGCGACUCUCUGGACGGCAACUGACGCUGAGGUGCGAAAGCGUGGGGAGCAAACAGG